CACCUGCGAGCCGUCUGGCAAUGCACGUAUUCCAUAGAUAUAGGGCAGGUAGCUGUGGGUGGUGAUGGCUGACGGAUGAAUGGAAGGACAAAGAGGACGGAGACGGGUACAUUUAGCAGUUGACAGCCAUUUUUCAGAGAUGGCCCGGAGAGGUGAAACUCCGGCCACUUUGGCUUCCACACACCCAGGAUGCAACAGAGGGAUUCUUUUUUGAUUCUCUGACAGGCCGCUUGAUGAUGCUUGUGCGUGUUUGUGUUUCCUUCCCAGGGGAAAGCUCACAAUGAGACUCCGCUCAGGGCUGAACAUGCACCUCUGCCUCUCCCCUGCUGACUUGGUAGUGUUGAUGAGGGAGUGAGGGAGGCAGACGGACAUGUUUGUGUGUGUGUGUGUGUGUGCGUGUGUGUGUGUGUGUGUGCAUAGGUGCCAAGCAGGAGUUGUUGUUUUCGCACGCAUCCCAAGACAGGUACCCCCCCUCUUCAACCGCGCUACGCAACAACAACACGAACACAACAGCAACAACUUCUCCGAGCGAGGCCGGCGCUGUCAUGGUAACAGCGUAGAGUGACCUUCAGAGGUUGCUGAUGCUCCCCAGAGCUGCCUCCUAUUCUGCUUGGCAUGGACUUUGAAAUGCAUCAGCAGUGACAAAUGAAAAAUAAAUGACAUCAAACCACAUGUAGAAUUGGAAAUAACACCUUCCAUCACAGGGAUUUGGUGCAGGAUUUCCAUGCUAACCUCCGCCUAUAUGACACGGGUGUUCCACCUGGAGAGCUACUCACCAAGGAUCAGUGAACACAUAAGCCUGGAAAAAAAAAAAAAAAAGCACAUCAGAGCCAUGAUAGGCUGCCUCUCGGUGUCACACUGAUGGGUUCCACACUGCCACCAACUGGAGGAGAACAGGAAGUGAGGCAUGGUGGAGGAAUCCUCCUCAGGAUGAGUUGGUUUGCGGAGCACAUCAAGGCUUGUGUUUCUCACUGUGCAGCUCAAAUAAAUGGCGCCGGUGCAUUUUACAGAUAAGGCACCGAUAAUGUUUCCAGCAGCCAUUAGGAGCCCGUGGGUGGUUAAUGUAGAGCAGCUAUUUGUCAUCACAUUUAUAGUAUAAGGCUUAGUCAUCUAUCUGGCAGUAAGUACAUUGGCAUUUUGUGCACAGUGUGAUGGCUUCAUAUGUAUCCUAUAUGUGUGUGUUUGUGGUUGUCAUAGGGUUGGGUGGGUGCAGGAGAGAGGGGGGGGGUAUCUUUCAAUGAACACGUCUCAUAGAUGGUUUUGAGUGGACAACAAGGACACAAUUUCUUCUUCUUUUUUUUUUAAAGAUUGAUUGGGAUACACAUGUUGUAUCCCGUUGCCGUGGCAACCCCCAGGGCCGGGAGCAGAUGACUUAAUUCCCAGUGGAGAAACAAGCCACUCAAGUCUGUCAUCCUCUGCCUCUGCUGCUCUGUAUGGUGUGUGUAAGUGAGUAUGAGUGUGUGUGUGUGUGUGUGUGUGUGUGUGUGUGUGCACACGCAACAUAUUGAACAAGUCUGCUGUGCUGCUGUGCUUGGUUUACCUUGCCCUAACUGAAUAAAAUGUCCAUGUGAUGAAGGCCAUGCUAAUCAGAUAGAUAGCCGUGCAUGUAGAGUUUUGUUGUUCGCCUCGGCCGGACGGAGUCUCAAGGUGACGAUGUGAUUUCUGCAGCAUUUCAUUUCCCUCGCAGGAGAGAUUUUGGAAAUGAGGUGAAAAACUUAACUCAUGCAAAUUGUACACAGUUUGCCUCAGGGCCUCGUGGACUCACAGACAGGGCCCUGAUUAGAAAAAAAAGCUGUAGAUUUUUCUUUGCACAUUAUAUGUAAAGGUCAAAUUAUUAUAUUAUAUAUAUAUUAUAUACGCUUAGAACAGAAUCCUGUAUUUGCUCAUAAUACAAGACUAAAUCCCUCUACUGAAACCCAGAGUAAAUUAAUUUAUAUCUCUUUACCACGAGGACCCACUGAAGACGUGAAGUUCUCCAUAUCUCAUUUUCACAACACGAGCAAAAGUUGAAAAUCUUCAGCUUUACGCAAAUAAAUUGGCUUAAUGACUCUGCAGUGACAGCGGAGAAACUGACUGACUGAUGCAUGACAUUCACUUGUUUCGCAUCUUUAUCGCAUUUCAGUGAGUCACAACACUGACAUUCUGAUUCAGAGGACAUGUCCAUAUGAAUUAACUACUUUUUUGCAGACUGCUGAACUUAACCAACCUCCUUGACCUUCAGGGGCCCAGAAAAGCCUUUAUUCAUUGUAGGGUUUGGUUUGUGGUGAUAUGAUUAAUGCUUCAAAAUAAAACUCCUAAUAAAUUAUGUUAA